UACGGAGGGUGCGAGCGUUGUCCGGAAUCACUGGGCGUAAAGCGCUCGCAGGUGGUCCGAUGCGUCGUGCGUGAAAGACCCCGGCUCAACUGGGGGGUGUCGUGCGAUACGGUCGGACUGGAGGCCAGUAGGGGGAUGCGGAAUUCCGGGUGUAGUGGUGGAAUGCGUAGAGAUCCGGAGGAACACCAGCGGCGAAGGCGGCAUCCUGGACUGGUCCUGACACUCAGGAGCGAAAGCGUGGGGAGCGAUCCGG
rnacentral:rRNA from 1 species